CAUACUGACAGAUGAGAAAUAGAGACUCAGGGAGAUGAAGCAACUUUCCCCAAAGUUCCAUUGCUUUUAAGAGUCAAGGUCUUCCAGUCUCCAAAAGCCUCAUUCUUUCCCUUGGUUUAUGAUAUUCAAUUUGGCUCCUGCUGUAAUGUACACUGAAACCUCAGGCUGCUGAGCUAUCUUGAUGGUUUUAAGAAGACAAUCUGGUGCCUUUACCUGCUAGAGAAGUCACCUAGAAUCCUGUUGUUUAAGCAGAAGAUUGUGUUUCCCCACCACCCCCACACCAAACCCAGGGAAAAGAUAAGCUAACAGGCAGAUCUUCCUGUCACCAAACACACAGAUCUACCUUCAACUUCAUCCUCCCAAUCCAAUGAAGACUUCAUCUAAUGUCUCUUCGGUAUGAGUGCACACUUCCUCCCUGGAGCCUUCAUAUAGAACUACUUAACAAUAUACAUACUGAUCCAUUGUGGAAUUAUUAAGGAAAAUACAUUGAAAUAGGUGGCAUUCUUGUCAAAGAUAUAUAUGGACGGCUAGAUGGAUAGAUAGGUGAAAAUCAUGUUCCAUGGAAGAAGAGUUAGCUCAGCCUGCAACUCAAACAAGUACAGAUAUUCUUCCAUGGAAUGACCAUCAUACUUGGAUUGUAAUAAAAAUGCUUUAGGCAAACUUCUCAUUUCAUCCUUGGCAUAUUAAAAAUAUGUAUGUAUGUUUAAGGCUUGAAACUUAACACUGUAUUUUAAUGUUUCAGUAAGGUAAUUCUUCUUAAAUAAAAUUGGCAUUUUUAAAAAAGCCCUCUCUCACCACUCCUAUUCAACAUAGUGUUGGAAGUUCUGGCCAGGGCAAUUAGGCAGGAGAAAGAAAUAAAGGGUAUUCAAU
rnacentral:lncRNA from 10 species